rnacentral:snRNA from 1 species
AUACUUAUCUGGCAGGGAGAUAAUGAUAUGAAGUGAUUUUCCCAGGGCGAGGUUUUAUCCAUUGCACUCAGGAUUUCUGACCCAUCGAGAUUUCCCAAAUGUGGGAAAUUCGACUGCAUAAUUUGUGGUAGUGGGAGACUGCAUACAUGCUCUCCCCUG